rnacentral:rRNA from 1 species
AAGUCGUAACAAGGUUUCCGUAGGUGAACCUGCGGAAGGAUCAUUAGUGAUUGGCUUCGGCCUCAUAUCCUUUCAAACCUGUGCACCUCUUGGCUCCGGCCAAUUCAAACAUGUGUCAUGAAUGUACAUAAACAAAAACAUAAACAAAACUUUCAACAACGGAUCUCUUGGCUCUCGCAUCGAUGAAGAACGCAGCGAAAUGCGAUAAGUAAUGUGAAUUGCAGAAUUCAGUGAAUCAUCGAAUCUUUGAACGCACCUUGCGCCUUUUGGUAUUCCGAAAGGCAUGCCUGUUUGAGUGUCAUGUAAUCUCAACCCCUCAGGUUUCUGACCUGGGGCGGUUGGACUUGGGUGCUGCCGCUUGGCUCACCUUAAAAGCGUCAGUGGGAUAAGCACCGGUUGGACGUAAUAAGUUUCGUCAAGCCCUGGUGUGAUGCCUGCUCACAACCCCCAUCUUUUAACUUGACCUCAAAUCAGGUAGGACUACCCGCUGAACUUAAGCAUAUCAAUAAGCGGAGGAAAAGAAACUAACAAGGAUUCCCCUAGUAACGGCGAGUGAACCGGGAUGAGCUCAAAUUUGUAAUCUGGCGUGCUCCGCGCGUCCGAGUUGUAAUCUAUAGAAGCGUUUUCCGUGCCGGGACCGUGUCCAAGUCCCUUGGAACAGGGUAUCAAAGAGGGUGACAAUCCCGUACUUGACACGACGACCGGUGCUCUGUGAUACGUUUUCUACGAGUCGAGUUGUUUGGGAAUGCAGCUCAAAACGGGUGGUAAAUUCCAUCCUAAGGCUAAAUAUUGGCGAGAGACCGAUAGCGAACAAGUACCGUGAGGGAAAGAUGAAAAGCACUUUGGAAAGAGAGUUAAACAGUACGUGAAAUUGUUGAAAGGGAAACGAUUGAAGUCAGUCGUGCCCAAGGGAUUCAGCCGGUUCUUCCGGUCUACUUCUCUUGGACGGGUCAACAUCAGUUUUGGCCGGUGGAUAAAGGCUGGAGGAAUGUGGCACCCUCGGGUGUGUUAUAGCCUCCUGUCACAUACAUCGGCCGAGACUGAGGAAUGCAGCUCGCCUCACGGCCGGGGUUCGCCCACGUACGAGCUUAGGAUGUUGACAUAAUGGCUUUAAACGACC